UACGUAGGUGACAAGCGUUGUCCGGAUUUACUGGGCGUAAAGAGCGCGCAGGCGGUCGUUCAAGUCGAGUGUGAAAGCCCCCGGCUCAACUGGGGAGGGUCAUUCGAUACUGAUCGACUCGAAGGCAGGAGAGGGAAGUGGAAUUCCCGGUGUAGUGGUGAAAUGCGUAGAUAUCGAGAGGAACACCUGCGGCGAAGGCGGGUUGCUGGGCCGACACUGACGCUGAUGCGCGAAAGCCAGGGGAGCGAACGGG
rnacentral:rRNA from 1 species